GAUGAACGCUGGCGGCGUGCCUAAUACAUGCAAGUCGAGCGAACGGACGAGAAGCUUGCUUCUCUGAUGUUAGCGGCGGACGGGUGAGUAACACGUGGAUAACCUACCUAUAAGACUGGGAUAACUUCGGGAAACCGGAGCUAAUGCCGGAUAAUAUUUUGAACCGCAUGGUUCAAAAGUGAAAGACGGUCUUGCUGUCACUUAUAGAUGGAUCCGCGCUGCAUUAGCUAGUUGGUAAGGUAACGGCUUACCAAGGCAACGAUGCAUAGCCGACCUGAGAGGGUGAUCGGCCACACUGGAACUGAGACACGGUCCAGACUCCUACGGGAGGCAGCAGUAGGGAAUCUUCCGCAAUGGGCGAAAGCCUGACGGAGCAACGCCGCGUGAGUGAUGAAGGUCUUCGGAUCGUAAAACUCUGUUAUUAGGGAAGAACAUAUGUGUAAGUAACUGUGCACAUCUUGACGGUACCUAAUCAGAAAGCCACGGCUAACUACGUG
rnacentral:rRNA from 1 species